GAUGAACGCUGGCGGCGUGCUUAACACAUGCAAGUCGAACGGUGAAGGCGGAGCUUGCUCUGCUGGACCAGUGGCGAACGGGUGAGUAACACGUGAGCAAUCUGCCCCUGACUCUGGGAUAAGCGCUGGAAACGGCGUCUAAUACUGGAUACGAGCUGCGAAGGCAUCUUCAGCAGCUGGAAAGAAUUUCGGUCAGGGAUGAGCUCGCGGCCUAUCAGCUUGUUGGUGAGGUAAUGGCUCACCAAGGCGUCGACGGGUAGCCGGCCUGAGAGGGUGACCGGCCACACUGGGACUGAGACACGGCCCAGACUCCUACGGGAGGCAGCAGUGGGGAAUAUUGCACAAUGGGCGAAAGCCUGAUGCAGCAACGCCGCGUGAGGGACGACGGCCUUCGGGUUGUAAACCUCUUUUAGCAGGGAAGAAGCGAAAGUGACGGUACCUGCAGAAAAAGCGCCGGCUAACUACGUG
rnacentral:rRNA from 1 species